UGUUUAUUAAUGCUAUCAAGCAGUAUCUGUGUGUUGCACUCUCAAAAAACGGAGUCUCAUCUGUUCCAGAGGUUUUUGAGCUUUCUCUUUCCAUAUUUCUAACUUUGUUGUCAAACUUCAAGACACAUCUGAAGAUGCAAAUUGAGGUAUUCUUUAAAGAAAUUUUCCUGUACAUUUUGGAAACUUCUACAAGCUCAUUUGAUCAUAAGUGGAUGGUGAUUCAGACACUGACAAGGAUCUGUGCAGAUGCUCAGAGUGUGGUGGAUAUUUAUGUAAAUUAUGACUGUGACUUGAAUGCAGCAAAUAUAUUUGAAAGACUAGUAAAUGACCUGUCAAAAAUUGCCCAAGGAAGGGGCAGUCAAGAACUUGGGAUGAGUAAUGUUCAGGAAUUGAGCCUGCGGAAAAAGGGGUUAGAAUGUUUAGUUUCAAUUCUUAAGUGUAUGGUUGAAUGGAGUAAGGAUCAGUACGUGAAUCCCAACUCUCAAACCACCCUUGGUAAGAUAA
rnacentral:lncRNA from 1 species